UACGUAGGGGGCAAGCGUUGUCCGGAUUUAUUGGGCGUAAAGAGCGUGUAGGCGGCCGUACAGGUCAGCUGUGAAAACUCGAGGCUCAACCUCGAGACGUCGGUUGAAACCGUACGGCUAGAGUCCGGAAGAGGAGAGUGGAAUUCCCGGUGUAGCGGUGAAAUGCGCAGAUAUCGGGAAGAACACCCGUGGCGAAGGCGGCUCUCUGGGCCUGAUCUGACGCUGAGGCGCGAAAGCUAGGGGAGCGAACAGG
rnacentral:rRNA from 1 species